CGAGCAGCUCCAACCUAGACUGUCGAAUCAAGAAGGUCGUCCUGGAGGAAAUGAUUUUUGCCUAGUGUUCUGUGAUGAAUCUAUGAUCACUAUGACCAUCAUAGAUCACCAUGAUCUAUAUUAAAGAGCAAAUAGGCAAAAUCGAGAUGGGAAGGAGAAUUCCAGGCAAAGAGAAUCCAGGAGAAGAGGAGUGUGGCUGGAACAUGCAGGUUCACUGGAGCACUGCAAAUUAGACUGACAAAAGACAGAUUAUCGGGAGAAAAAAAUACAAAGAAGCUAAUAGGCUGAAGGGUUUAUAUACCAUUUUAAACAAAGAAUGAUAAACUGUGGAGACUUGACAGGAAAAAAAAAAGGGUUUGAGGCUUUCCAGAGCAGUCCACUACGGGAAGAUCUCACUCUGGAUGAUUAAACACCAAUACCACCAACCUGAGUAGGCCUUCCAGGAAAUACCGGGGACACUAAGAAGCCACACCCACUGAACCAUUCUAUGGUCACUCAGCAUUUGAAGCAAAUUGGAAAGGUGAAAAAGCUCGAUAAGUGGGUGCUUCAUGAGCUGACCGAAAGUAAAAAAAAAAUUGUCAUUUUGAAGUGUCAUCUUCUCUUACUCUAUGCAACAACAAUGAACCACUUCUUGAUUGGAUUGUGAUGUGCGAGGAAAAGUGGAUUUUAUGUAACAACUGGUGAUGACCAGCUCAGUGGUUGGACCAAGAAGAAGCUCCAAAGCACUUCCCAAAGCCAAACUUGCAUCAAAAAAAGGUCAUGGUCACUGCUUGGUGGUCUGCUGCCAGUCUGAUCCACUACAGCUUUCCGAAUGCCUGGGAAACCAUUACGGCUGAGAAGUAUGCUCAGCAAACCAAUGAGAUGCACGGAAAACUGCAGUGCCUGCAGCCGGCAUUGGUCACCAGGAAGGGCCCAAUUCUUCCCCACUGCAAUGUCCGACUGCACAUCACAACCAACGCUUCAGAAGUUGAACAAAUUGGGCUACGAAGUCUUGCCUCAUCUCCCAUAUUCACCUGACCUCUUGCCAGCCGACUACCAUUUCUUCAAGCAUCUCAACAACUUUUUGCAGGGAAAAUGCUUCCACAACCAGCAGGAUGCAGAAAAUGCUUUCCAAAAGUUUGUUGAAUCCCGAAGCAUGGAUUUUUAUGCUACAGGAGUAAACUUAUUUCUCAUUGGCAAAAAUGUAUUGAUUGUAAAGUUUUCUUUUUUGAUUAAAGAUGUGUUUGAGCCUAGUUAUAAUGAUUUAAAGUUCACGGUCCAAAACCGCAAGUACUUUUUGCACCAGCGAGAUGUGUGUAUGAGAGGCUUAUUUCACCCAGCCUCUUUUCCAGUCAUCUGUAGAAUUAUUUCAAGCACAGGAGGGACCCUACUUCAUAUUGGGGAGGAUUAAGGAAGACUUCCUGGAGGAUUGUCUCAGAGCUUGCUGCAGGUGCAUAUUGAAAAGCAAUUCAUUACAAUUUUCUAUAAGAGACUGUGGCUGAACA